rnacentral:rRNA from 1 species
CUAUACAUGACUCUGCGCAUAUCAAUAAGCGGAGGAAAAGAAACUAACAAGGAUUCCCCUAGUAACGGCGAGUGAAGCGGGAAGAACUCAAAUUUGAAAUCUUAAAGGGUUUACCUUUACGAAUUGUAGUUUAAAGAAGUGUUUUCUGCUGAGGUUUUGGUAAAAGUUCUUUGGAAUAGGACAUCAUAGAGGGUGAGAAUCCCGUAUUUGACCAUUACUUUUCAACUUUGUGAUACACUUUCAAAGAGUCGGAUUGUUUGGGAAUGCAGUCCAAAAUGGGUGGUAAAUUUCAUCUAAAGCUAAAUAUUGGCGAGAGACCGAUAGCGAACAAGUACCGUGAGGGAAAGAUGAAAAGAACUUUGAAAAGAGAGUUAAACAGUACGUGAAAUUGUCAAAAGGGAAGCGUUUGACACCAGUGUUGUUUUUCUGAAAAUCAAUUAAAGAACUGUUUAUGCUAAGUUGUUUAGACUUUAUCAGCUAUCUGUUUAGUUUUGAGCUUUUCUUUAAUGCACUUUUCAGUUAACAAGUCAACAUCAAUUUCUUUUGCUGUAAAAAAGCUUGAGGAAGGUGGCUUGAGAUUCGUCUUAAGUGUUUAUAGCCUCUUGCCUAUGCAGUCGGAGAGAUUGAGGUCUGCAGCGUAGAUCCUUCGGGGCUAAAUGCAUUUGUGCUAAGUUAUAGCAUUUUAUAGACAACUUGUUGACUAUGAUUUGUCUUGUAGCUUACUCGCUUAUGCUAUUUUACCUACGCUUAGGAUGUUGACAGCAGUAUAGACUU